CUGGCAGCUUUAAUUACAGCUGGACAGGAAAAUUUCUGCAAAUUGGAGUAUUUCUCAUACUUAACCUUUCUUUGUACUUUCUCCUUUUAUUUUUCUGACUGUAAUAUACUUUUGAACCCUUGCUGUUUUCCUGUUCAUAAGCAAGCUCAUUUGCAGCUCUGUUUUCCUGUUUCAAUUCUGCUGUUUUCCUUGAGUGCUCAGCAGAGUCCAGCAAAGAAGUCUUGGAUGAAGGUUUGAUAAGCUGAUGUGUAGGAAAACCAGCUGAAAUCUGAGGAACUUCAAACAGUUAUGCCUUUGAACUACAAAAGAGUGCAAACAAAAUUUCAGAUCAAAUCUCCUGUUUCACCUCCAGACAAACCAGCCACUACAUUUUAUGCAAAUGGUUGCAAUGCUGCUGGCUAAAUUUCCUCAAAGACACUACAAUGUUUUGUCUUUCCUCCUGACUCCUCUUCUGCUGCCAGCACAGGCUUCCUUUCCAACUUUGAGGCCACCCUGAUGAGGUGUCCCCUGGGAUGUCUUUAUCCUGAUUGACCUGAAUGCCUCUGCAGCAUGACCUGGGGUGCUCCCAACCCUGAAAAUGAUGCAAAGAUCUCUGGAACAAUUCUCCACAGAGCUGUCAUGGAGGGAUUACUGCUUGUGCACUUGGGUUUUACUUGAUAUAUGCUGAUAAGAUGUAGGCUUGGAAUUAUCAAUAAAGGAAAACCCUUAACAGCUGCCUGAGAAAUACAGAGUGUUUAGAAUUCAAAGUACUUUCCAGAGCAUUGCCAUGCCCUUGACAAUUACUAUAUGUAAUUAUAGCAUAAUGUAAUUAUUCCAAUAGUCGUCUUUAUCACUCUGUAGUAUGGGAAGUAAUAAAAUCUGCUGUGCCUAAUUUUUCAUCCAGAAAAGCCAUCUCUGUAAGUGUACUACUGAGAAGAAAAGCUACUGUUGUACUACAAUCACACAGACAGUGUUUAUGCUCCCUGCCCCCUGCCUCCCUUGAGUGUUACUAAUAGCUUACUUAAAAGCAGGUGCUUGAUUUAAUCUUGUCAGUGCCGUUUUGCAUCUCUGUACAGAAGAAGGAUGACCCAAGUAAUAAAAUCAUUAACAGAGGAAGAGAUGGUGUUAGUUUCAGGGUGAGACACAGUUAAAGGAAAUGGGAGAGUGCAGAUUGUGGCUAGCAUUUCAGUUUAUCAGAGAUGCCUUGCAAAAACCUUUGCCCAACAUUCCAAGGUAAUUUAUUAACUCACUGAUCCAUGUCCAUGUGUUUCUGAGUACUUCGUUUCCCUCAUCCCUUUUGGUUUAUUGAUUUCACUGUGCAUCCUGCACUUCAGGAGUCAAAUGCAUGAUGUUUUUGUAAUCAUUUGUGGUGUCAUAGUACCUGUAAGCCCUAUAUUAGGUUUUAUUCCCUGCCUUUCCCCUCUUCUUCACUUAUAGAGGUGAAGGCUCUGGCUUUGAGCACAGCUUGUGAAGAGGUUUACAAAGACUGGUCAAGCACUCUGCCUUCCCUGUAUUGUUACAAUUUGUUUGCCUCAUUGAGUGCUUUUUAAAAUUCAAUUCACACAUUGAUGUUCUUUCACAGUCACUGGACAAACCAAAUAAAGGAGAUCCUAAGGGCUUA